rnacentral:tRNA from 1 species
GGAAGUAUAGCUCAGUGGUAGAGCAAGUCCGGUGGAUAUAGGAGAUAUAAAUCUGAAUAAACCUGCGAGAAAAGGCGAUAGAUUUAAAGGUACUAUAGAUAGGACCAUGUCAUGAGUUCGAAUCUCAUUACUUCCA